CUUGAUAGUAUAAUGGCAUAAGCUUACCUGACUGCGAGGUUGACAAACCAAGCAGAGACGAAAGUCGGUCAUAGUGAUCCGGUAAUUCUGUAUGGAAGGGUUAUCGCUCAACGGAUAAAAGGUACGCCGGGGAUAACAGGCUGAUGGUGUUCGAGAGUUCAUAUCGACGACACCGUUUGGCACCUCGAUGUCGACUCAUCACAUCCUGGGGCUGGAGAAGGUCCCAAGGGUUCGGCUGUUCGCCGAUUAAAGUGUUACGUGAGUUGGGUUUAGAACGUCGUGAGACAGUUCGGUUUCUAUCUGCCGUGGGUGAAGGAAAUUUGAGAAGAUCUGACUCUAGUACGAGAGGACCGAGAUGUAUAUACCUCUGGUGUACCAGCUGUUAUGCCAAUAGCAUCGCUGGGUAGCUAUGUAUAGAUGGGAUAAUUGCUGAAAGCAUAUAAGCAAGAAACCCUCUUCAAAAAAAUUUCCCAAUUAAGGCCGUGGGAGACUACCACGUUGAUAGGCUAAGUGUAGAAGCAUGGUAACAUGUGAAGCUAACUGGUACUAAUAGCCUGAUUGAUUUAUUUGCUUUC
rnacentral:rRNA from 1 species